rnacentral:rRNA from 1 species
AGUGAACGCUGGCGGUAGGCCUAACACAUGCAAGUCGAACGGCAGCACAGUAAGAGCUUGCUCUUACGGGUGGCGAGUGGCGGACGGGUGAGGAAUACAUCGGAAUCUACUUUUUCGUGGGGGAUAACGUAGGGAAACUUACGCUAAUACCGCAUACGACCUACGGGUGAAAGCAGGGGAUCUUCGGACCUUGCGCGAUUGAAUGAGCCGAUGUCGGAUUAGCUAGUUGGCGGGGUAAAGGCCCACCAAGGCGACGAUCCGUAGCUGGUCUGAGAGGAUGAUCAGCAACACUGGAACUGAGGAACGGUCCAGACUCCUACGGGAGGCAGCAGUGGGGAAUAUUGGACAAUGGGCGCAAGCCUGAUCCAGCCAUACCGCGUGGGUGAAGAAGGCCUUCGGGUUGUAAAGCCCUUUUGUUGGGAAAGAAAAGCAGCAGGUUAAUACCCCGCUGUUCUGACGGUACCCAAAGAAUAAGCACCGGCUAACUUCGUG